rnacentral:rRNA from 1 species
GGGUUUAAAGGGUGCGUAGGUGGGUAUGUAAGUCAGGGGUGAAAUCCCAGGGCUCAACCCUGGAACUGCCUUUGAUACUGGGUGUCUUGAGUACGGGAGAGGUGUGUGGAACUCCGAGUGUAGAGGUGAAAUUCGUAGAUAUUCGGAAGAACACCAGUGGCGAAGGCGACACACUGGCCCGUUACUGACGCUGAGGCGCGAAAGCGUGGGGAGCAAACAG